GUGAAAGAGAGGUACCUCCAGGUGAGUACCCAGCCCAGAAGAAGGGCGAGCGGCAGAGACACCGGCGUUGUCCACACGUGUGGCUGGAUGUGCUGGAACAGUAGGGCUGUUUGUUGGAAGGGCUUCAGUCUUGAGCUGUGGGGCAGGAGUCGUAGGUGGCUGUGCCUGCUCUGUGCUGGCUGCAAUCUGGUGCCCGAAUGCUGC